GCCGGAAGAAGUCUAGGUUGAGAUUCGAAGAAUAGUCGAUCACUGUAGAAAAUCGACUGAUAGUGAAGCUCGGAGAGUGUUUGGAGCAGUCCGGUAGGUGAAUGGAGGAGCCCAUUAUCGGAGAAGUUCGAAUGGUAUUGUGGAAGCUCGUACGAUCGAAGGAGUUCGGAAAGAUGUCACACAAGGUUGGAAGCUGGAAGAGCCCUGGAAGGG
rnacentral:lncRNA from 1 species